rnacentral:lncRNA from 1 species
UCACUUCACUCGCUCUCGUUCAGUAGCGGUUCUUCAUUCUUUAGAUAGCCGCGUGAGAGCUCUGAAAUUCCAUUCAGUUCAGGUCCUUAGUUCCAGUCGAAUCGCGAGCAAAGCUCGACACUGCUAGCGAAGCUCUACGACAGAGCAUAUCCAUUAUUUCCAUUAUAGAGCCAAUCACACUGCUCUCUCUCUUUCCGGCCGGUAUGUAGAAUCGUCGGAGCGAUCAGAGCAAGCGGUUCAAAGAGCUUCCAAAAGAAUGCCUGUCUGAGAGGGUCUCGUCCGGGAAAAGAAAGGUUAAAGAGUCAGUCGGCUUGCCACGCUUGCCUUACCUCAGAGAUGAAGCCGAAGGAAAAAACCUGAGGAGUUGUUCUCCUC